CUGAAGAGUUGGAAUUCGCAUAUGUCUGGCUGCUGUGACCCUUCAAGUAUAAACUAAUGUUUCAGCUGUGAUCCAUGGUCAACAGAGGUCAUACUUCUCUACCUGUAGUGGUCGGAAGUGGUACAUCUCCACCUGUUUGUACUGAGUGUGUGUUAAAGAGAGUCUAGACAUGGUCUGAUGAAUUCUAGUGAUUCAAGUCAUUAGUCUUCAGAAAAAUCAUCAAACCUAGUCAGGAGGAUCAAUUAAUUACUUACUGAUCACCCCUAUUCUGGAUCCUUCAACUGGUAUGUUUCUAGGAAACAUCACCUUGAUUUCUUUUAAACUUUGGUCUCCUUUUCCUCACCACUAGUUCACGAUUUAGGCCGUUUUGUACUUGUGUCUGUGGAGCAGAGAUACUGACUGGGAAUAUAGGUGCUGUCGCUCGACCAUGAGUGUGGCCCGUGAGGGCCCUGGUAAAUGGCAUUGGUAGUUUGAUGUGGAAAUGUGCGCUGGAAUUACACUCUGUAUUCAUCCCCACUUCUCAGGUUCAACUGCUUUCAUCAAUUGCCUUCAUUCGAACUACACCAUAAGUUUACAAACUCACGUCAAUGUAAAGUGUUGUGAUUUUGCAAUCCGAGCAAUAAUGUUUGACUGUGCUUUGAACCUCAGGAUGAAACUAAUCCGUCAUUGAUGCAGGCAGUCAACUUUCACUGUACUUGACCAGCAUACUUAGACUUUGAAUUAAUAGUGUCAUCAGAAUUAGAUAACUAUUUUAGACCACAGAUAUGUGCUACCCAUGAGAUGUGCUUGGGCAUCCUUCUAAGGCAAGCUGUGGAGAUAUUUAUGGCACAAUUUAGGGCCGACAAAGAUGUGUCCCCAAAUAUUUCCUAAUUACGCUUUUAAAAUUUUUGGUUUCAUGUGAAACAUUUGGGGGAAAAAUCUGUGUAACAUCAAAGUAGUUGAUCUUGUGCCUCAGUUGAUUCUUGAAAUCUGCUCUUGGGUUUGUCUGUCUGUCUAUCUGUAUUUGUAGCAAACAAAAAAAACAAAACAAAACAAAAACAAACAAACAAAAGAACACCCCACCAAAUUCGAUGGUUGCCUGACUCUUAGGGCCCAGUCCUGCAGUCUCUCCACGUGGCUCUCCCAUGGGCUUCAAUGGAAUUUUGUUUGAGGAAAGAUGUAAAGGUCGGGUCCGUAAUGGACACAUGAUCAGGACAGCACCUCCAUCUCUCAAUGCACAGUUCCAGUUGGCUGUCCCUCCAUCACGGUAGUCUGUGGCCCUUAGCUUUUUGGGGGUUGUUUUGUCGUCGUUGUUGUUGUUGUUCUUGCUGUUGUCGGUGCAUAAUUGAGCUCAUGAUGACUGAGAGAUUGACAGUGCAGGAGACUGAAGUCCUCUGUAUAUCCGCAGGGCAGGCAUGGUACAGAGCGCUUCCUUGCACAGCCUUGCCCAUGAGCUCGUCCCUGGCCUGGAGGGACCCACUCUAGAGGUGGUGCCACGGGCUCAGACAGCAAGAGGGCAGGAUGGGAGAAUACUGCCGAGCUGGUCAAACAGAAACAAUGGAGAGAAGGAGAGCAAGAGGCAGCAGAGAGAAUUUUGAUUUUUCUAAAAAUGGAACUAUUUGUGUAGUGGGGAGUCACGAAAACUUAUGGCCAUGUGGUUUGUGUUAAGUGUUUCACAAUGGUUAAAUGUGUUCUAGCACUCGGUGGAAAUGGGAUUCUCUACCAACUAAUUGAAUGGAGGAGAAAAACAUGGGAGGGAUUAGUUUUCUAGAAGGAAAAGGAAAAUGAGAAAAAAAAA